UCAUAUUUUGCUCAUUUUACCUCAUUUUUUAUCUAACAGAUGAUGUUUUCACUUUUCAUGUAACAAAAAUUUACCACCAGUUUUCGAAAAAUGAACUAUUGAUAUUGCAAUUUAUGUACAAUUAUGAAUGAAUUAUUAAUGAUUUUGAAACAAAACAUAUAAGGAAACCAAUAUUCAAAUAACCAUCAGGGAAUAAUUUUCUUGAUUCGCCUGGUUACCAAAAAUCUCAGGUCGCCCUGCUUAUUUACUUACACUGUCUACAAAAUUGAGGUCAGACAAUGGGAUUUCCUAUCUCCUUAUUCAGAAUGAAGUGAUUUUCAUUCAUUUUUUUUGCUGCAGCAUCUGGAUAAAUGGAACUCAAAGUGUAUCGGUUGGAAGAAAUGAAGCCUGAGCUCAAUGUUGCUGUUGCUCUUGUUAUUAGCUUGCUCUGUAUUCAGCACUCAUUUUCUGAUGAACUUUCUGAUACUGCCCUAAAGAAGUGGAAAUGCAAAUGCUCUUCUUUCCAAGGAAACCAUAUAUACUCUCUAUCAAAUUGUUCCAAGUCAUGUGAUUGCCAUUCAGAUUCAGAAGAGAGUGCAUCCAUAUGGACAUGCAAAUGUGAUCCGAAUGGAUUUCCUAAAGUGACAGCAGAUGGCCAUAACCUUAAUUGUUUCAAUGCCUGCAGAUGUACCUGGGGAACUGACAGGAUGCCCCUUGUUUCAAAGAAACUAAGUUCGAGCAAGAUUGUGGUAGUUAUUCUAUCAAUGUGUCUUGUAAGCACAACUGUUGCAUUUCUUACCUCAGUUGUAUGUCAUGUCUGCCAGAGACGCAGCUUUCCUAUCCAAUCAUCAAUGAUAUCAUCAGAUAAAGAAACGAGUUACAAUAGUACCUCCAACUUAAUUAUUCAUAGUACUUCUUCAGUGCCAGAAACAAAAGUUGUUAUACAUUCUCCAAUUAGUCAUAUUAGAGGAUGCUUUCCGAAGGCCUAUUUGUUGUUUGGUAGCCAAAGAGAAACCUUUCAAGGAAAUAUUAUUCAAUUUUCGUUUGCUGAACUGGAAAAUGCCACUGAAAACUUUUCAGCUUCCAAUCUAAUUGGAUUUGGUGGAAGCAGUUAUGUAUACCGCGGUAGGCUAAAAGAUGGUAGUAAUGUGGCAGUCAAGAGACUAAAAGAUCAAAGAGGGCCUGAGGCAGACUCUGAAUUUUUCACAGAGAUUGAACUAUUGUCUAGGCUUCAUCAUUGUCAUCUGGUGCCAUUGGUGGGAUACUGCUCAGAAUUAAAAGGAAAAAAUGUUCAAAGGUUGCUAGUGUUUGAAUACAUGACUAAUGGAAAUUUAAGGGACCGCUUAGAUGGAAUUUUUGGAAAAAAAAUGGAUUGGUCUACUCGUGUUACGAUUGCAUUAGGAGCUGCAAGGGGCUUGGAAUAUCUUCAUGAGGCAGCUGCUCCAAGAAUUCUGCACAGAGAUGUCAAAUCAACCAACAUUCUUCUGGAUAAAAAUUUCCAAGCAAAAAUAACUGAUCUUGGUAUGGCUAAAAACUUGAGAGCUGAUGAUCACCCUAGUUGUUCAAAUUCUCCAGCAAGAAUGCAGGGAACAUUUGGCUAUUUUGCACCUGAGUAUGCAAUUGGAAGAGCCUCUCUUGAGUCAGAUGUCUUCAGUUUUGGAGUGGUUCUUCUUGAGCUUAUCAGUGGUCGGCAACCUAUCCAUAAAUCUGCAGGGAAAGAAGAAAGUCUUGUUAUAUGGGCAACUCCUCGCUUACAAGAUAGUAGGCGAGUAAUAAUGGAGUUGGUUGAUCCGCAAUUGAAAGGAAACUUCCCCCAAGAAGAGGUGCAUAUAAUGGCAUACUUAGCAAAGGAGUGCUUGUUGUUGGAUCCAGACACUAGACCAACAAUGAGUGAAGUUGUUCAAAUUAUUUCAAGUAUUUCCCCGGGCAAAUCUAGAAGGAGAAGAAGCAUUCCAGUGAGCCUUUUUCAGGAACUGGAGGAUGCAGAGAAGCAAAGACAAGAUCAAUCAAGUAGAUUUCUAUCUCAUAAUUUAUUGCCACUAAGCAAUGACUAUAAUAUUCAUUUUGUGAACGAAAAUAAAGAUGAACAUACAGCUUCAACUGAGCAUAUGGAGAGUUCGAUCCUCUUAUCUUCAAAAGGUGGUGGCUUUUGGAAUUUGAAUCAGGCUUUGAAUGGUAGAUGAGAGUAUGACUUGUGGAAUGGAUGGUUUGGACUAGUACAUAAGAAACCUAUGACUAUGUGACAUUGUGAACUUAUUCGUUGAACCGUAGAAGCAACCCUUGAAUACGUAGGUGAUGGAUCCACCUCCUCCUCCAACCACACCGUUGCUAAGGCCAGCUCCUCCUAGAAGAGGAUUCUUGGAUACAUGCUUAUGGUUUCUUUGCUGCUGUGGCCUAUUCAGUUGCUGCUUUCCUCCCCUUUUCGAGACAGGGCCUCCUCCACUUUAGACUCUACCCAAAAAUUAGAUACUUCAUCAUCACAUGCUCUUUGAUUAACUUAUAUCAAGUGUUACUAAUUUUUUUCGUAAACGGGAAAGUUUAAAUAUAUAUUAUCUAGAGAUCGAUUAAGAUUAUGAACACUUGGUAGUUGACUAUGUAAUAAUUUCUCAAACUCUAUGUCGAUUUGUUCUGUAAAACCAUUUUUAAUUUAAAAUUUAGGGUUUUCUUUUGGGGUGAAAACUAAUUUACCUUUUUAAGCAACAAUGUGGUUAUUUGGUUGGUUGUAGCUGUUGUAAACUCAAAUUUUGUGGCUUUCGUUUCCUUAUGGUUUGUAUUUGAGUUGGGAUGUGAAUUUGAAUGUCCUGCGUCAGUGUCGAAAUUCUAAACAUAGUUUUGUCA